rnacentral:rRNA from 1 species
CUGACGAGUUUGAUCCUGGCUCAGAACGAACGCUGGCGGCAUGCCUAACACAUGCAAGUCGAACGAACCCUUCGGGGUUAGUGGCGCACGGGUGCGUAACGCGUGGGAAUCUGCCCAAAGGUUCGGAAUAACACAGAGAAAUUUGUGCUAAUACCGGAUAAUGUCUUCGGACCAAAGAUUUAUUGCCUUUGGAUGAGCCCGCGUUGGAUUAGCUUGUUGGUGGGGUAACGGCCCACCAAGGCGACGAUCUAUAGCUGGUCUGAGAGGAUGAUCAGCCACACUGGGACUGAGACACGGCCCAGACUCCUACGGGAGGCAGCAGUGGGGAAUAUUGGACAAUGGGCGAAAGCCUGAUCCAGCAAUGCCGCGUGAGUGAUGAAGGCCUUAGGGUUGUAAAGCUCUUUUACCAGGGAUGAUAAUGACAGUACCUGGAGAAUAAGCUCCGGCUAACUCCGUG